GGGGUAGCGGGUGGGGACACCCGAGAGGCGCGGAUCUCCACCGGGAGGCUUGGGAGUCCCUGGCGGUGGCUGCUACGAGCGGGACGCGGGGGCGUGUUUGGCCCAGCCGCCGCAAGGGACUUGAAGUUAACAGCUUGCAGUAGGGGCCCCUUGGGGCACCGUGUCCUGGGUGCGCUGGCGCCCCGCUCCGGGUUCCAGUACGGUAGUGGAGCCCCGCAGGUUCAGCAGUCCAUCUCGGCGGUGCGUGUGGCUCCUCGCUGUCCGCCACCGCCAAGCAGAGCGCGGCUGCCCAGCUCGCGGCGCCGUCGCUUGCCCGCGCCGCCUCCUCCGCCUCCUCCUCCGAGGCCGCUGCGCGCUCCCCGCGCCGGCAGCGCGCUCCGAGUCCUCCGGCCGCCGAGUCCUUCCUUUCCCCGGCUUCUCCUCUCGCCCUCUCCUUCGCCGCCGUCUAGCUCGCAGCCUCGUCCCUCCUGCUCUUUGCAAAGUGCCCCGGGCCCCCCUCGCGUUUCAAGGUGCCGGGAGACACGACUCAAACUGAGGCGAUCAUUAUACUGAUGGGAAUCAGAAGCACGUGGGUGUCUCCGACCAGCCUCAAAUUCUGAGCCUUCAAAACAAAUCAAACAACGUGCGGCGGCGCCCACAGAAGCCGGGAAAUCCGCCGGAGGCUGAUACACCCCAAGAACCAGGCAGAAGCAAUAUCGGGCUGGUUCACCUCUCAGCGUGAUGUUCUGUUAUAUGUCUUGCCUAACCUAUUAUUUUAAAACUUCCAACGCUUCCAAAUAGAAUCAUUUUACC
ensembl:antisense Runx2os1 runt related transcription factor 2, opposite strand 1